rnacentral:rRNA from 1 species
UACAGAGGUCUCAAGCGUUUGUUCGGAUUCAUUGGGCGUAAAGGGUGCGUAGGCGGCGCGGUAAGUCGGGUGUGAAAUCUCGGAGCUUAACUCCGAAACUGCAUUCGAUACUGCCGUGCUUGAGGACUGGAGAGGAGACUGGAAUUUACGGUGUAGCGGUGAAAUGCGUAGAUAUCGAUAAGGAAGACCAGUGGCGAAGGCGGGUCUCUGGACAGUUCCUGACGCUGGAGGCACGGAAGGUCAGGGGAGCAAACGGG